AAUUGACAUUCAUAAUAGAUCUUCAAGAAGGAAUGGAAGAACACUUGAAUGGUAAAUAUGAAGCCAUGGUUUUACCACGUGACCUCCCCGCUGGCCCUUCUACUUGAGGCGAUGAGUAGUAACCUGGAGCAAGCCAUUUCUCUCUGGAGAAGCUAAACUAAGUCAAGUCUGAGGACAUUCCCAGGCUCGGUCAGGACCCGGCUGCCACUGCUCUGGAGACCGGACACCAGUUAGACUUGGAACCCUGGACUCACCGGCAUGCCACCAUGGGAGACCUCCCAACAGGGACUGAUCACCUGCCCGACACAGCAUUUCUGUGUUUUCACAGCGGCUGCGAGUCUGCUCUCUGAAUAAGGCCCUCCGAAAGGCAAAGUUAAGAAGAUACCCAGAGCUCACCCAGACACAAGGGUUGUGAAGAUUCAUUAAGACAGUGCACAAAGCCUUCUUAAGGAUGGGAAAACCAAGGUUCCAUGACCAGCCAAGCUUGCCAGCUAAUCUGAUGCUGGGAAGAACGAGAGGCAGGACCCAUCCUCCAGGUUCCUCAGGAGGAGAAAGGGAUCAAAGGUACUCUGGGGCUGAGGACCACAUCUAUCUCACCCACCACCAGCUUCCUGGCACCCAUCUCAGUGCCUGGCAGUAGGUAGGUCAAUGAGCAUGUGUUGAAUGAAGUACUGAAUUCCUAGAAGUGAAAUUACCCACCCAAAGCCACACACGUGUCAAGCUUCUUCCUUCAUUCUGGCCAACUGACCUCCAGAAAGGCCACACUGUUGACAUGCAGUGCCCUUGACGAAGUGGAGUACCAUCACCUUAAAAUCAGCAUCAUGGCAGAGUGAGAAGACUUUUGUUUCUUCCCUUAAAUUUGUAACAAGUUGGACAACUGUAACUCAAUAAAGGAUCCCCUG